UAUAGGGGGGGCAAGCGUUGUUCGGAAUUACUGGGCGUAAAGGGUUUGUAGGUGGCUUGCUAAGUCAGACGUGAAAUCCCUCAGCUUAACUGGGGAACUGCGUCUGAUACUGGCGAGCUUGAGUGCAGGAGAGGAACGCGGAAUUCCAGGUGUAGCGGUGAAAUGCGUAGAUAUCAGGAAGAACACCCGUGGCGAAAGCGGCUCUCUGGAACGGUACUGACGCUGAGACGCGAAAGCGUGGGGAGCGAACAGG
rnacentral:rRNA from 1 species